rnacentral:rRNA from 1 species
GACGAACGCUGGCGGCGUGCUUAACACAUGCAAGUCGAACGGAAAGGCCCUGCUUUUGUGGGGUGCUCGAGUGGCGAACGGGUGAGUAACACGUGAGUAACCUGCCCUUGACUUUGGGAUAACUUCAGGAAACUGGGGCUAAUACCGGAUAGGAGCUCCUGCUGCAUGGGGGGGGUUGGAAAGAUUCGGCGGUGGGGGAUGGACUCGCGGCUUAUCAGCUUGUUGGUGGGGUAGUGGCUUACAAAGGCUUUGACGGGUAGCCGGCCUGAGAGCGUGACCGGGCACAAUGGUACUGAGAUACGGCCCAGACUCCUACGGGAGGCAGCAGUGGGGAAUAUUGCACAAUGGGCGGAAGCCUGAUGCAGCAACGCCGCGUGCGGGAUGACGGCCUUCGGGUUGUAAACCGCUUUCGCCUGUGACGAAGCGUGAGUGACGGUAAUGGGUAAAGAAGCACCGGCUAACUACGUG